ensembl:lncRNA
GAAGAGACUUGGAAGGAAGGAAGGGAGGGAGGGAGAGAGAAGGAGAAAGGGAAGGAGGAAGGAAGAAAGGGAAGGAGGAAGAGAGAGGAGUAAAAGAAGGGAGAGAGGAAGGGAGAGAAAAAAGGAAGGAAGGAAAGGAAAGAAGGAGGAAGGAAAAAAGGAGGGAAGGAGGAAGGAAGGAAAAGAGGGAAGGAGGAAGAGAAGAAAAGAGGGAGGAAGGGAUAGAGGAAAGGAGGAAUGUCCAAAGAUAGUUUUUCCCUAUCUCCCGUGGUCCCUGGUAGGACUGAGAUUAGACUUAACCCAGAUUCAUUAGUUCCACCAAGUUCACAGACAAAUAUAGCAUAGCUGAUUUCUAUCUCAGCUACCACUGGGUUGGGUCCCAGAAGUUGUUUCUCAGGACUUUGACAAUAGACUGGCUGGCCACAAAACUCAGCAUGGAUUUCACUCACAGAACCCUGGGUGGCUUGCUCUCCUAAUAUUUUUAAUUUCACAAGGUUACUGGGAAAUCUCUAAUUUCCUUCACUUAAAGCAGGACAAAAAGACACACCAGCAACAGAAGCAAGAGUAGGACCAUAUGCUUUUGAAAACCUGGCUAUUGCUUCUCUUCCUGCUGAAGGUGGUGUGUUCUCAAUGCCUGUGUCUGAAUCAUAUCAUUGAUUUUUCAUUUAUUUUAUCUGAUUCUCACCAUCCAUCUCUAUCAAGAACAAAGGAGGAAAGAUCAAGAAAAGGUUAAUAUUAAUGUGCAUGCUAUGUCUUAAUAGAAAUUAAGUUGCUUUCACAACCCUUUUUUUCCCUGAUGAAUUGUAUAAAUGCCUUAACAAAAGCUAAAAAUCUGUCAAAUAUGGAUAUCCUCAGAAAUGGGUGAUAUAAGAGUUCAGAUUGCUUCUAUUAAAGAAGCAGUAUUACACUUAAUCUAUAUUAAAAUUGGAGCUAAGAGAUCUGAACUAGUAUGUUCUGACUCUUAUGUUCUUACUCUUACUGACUAACAGUGUGGCCUCAGAGAAAUUAACAAUAAUUAGUGAUGCCAAUAAUUAGCAAUAAUAACAUGUUUAUAGAGUAAUUGGUAAUUUGCAAAUUGGUUUUGAAUUCAUUUUCUCCUUUGAUCUUUACAACAACUCUGUGGGUUAAGUAGUACAAGUACUGUUAUAUAUCCAUUUUGUAGGUGUGGAAUCCGAAAUUUAGAGAGGCAGCAAUUUUUCCAAGGUCAUACUUGAACUUCUCGUGUUCCUGUAACUCAGCCCUUCAUCCUGUAAAUAUGGGAAGCUUUUGCUAGAUGCCAGGAAUAUAAGAUGCAUUCCCUGCUUUCAUGGAACAUACAUUCUACUGACUCUGGUACUUUUGCUGUUACCCUCUCUGCCAAAAGGCUACCUUAUACUGAGGUUCAAUUUUUUCAUAUAUAUAAAGAGGAUAAGAAUAUUUACAUAAUCUGCCUCAUGACAUUAUUAUAAAUAUAAAACGACAUAAUAGAAGUAAAGAAUUUGGUAACUCCAAAGCACUUUAGACUCUAAAAUUAAUUUUUGUUAUAUUUGACACUGCCUUAUUAUAGGAUUACUUCUUACUCCUUUCAGAAGUCCCAGUUAGAGUCCCCUUUUAUAUCACAUUCUGCUCUAUGGUAAAAAGUAACCUAUUAAGAUUGAUAAAUCCACCUCUUCUUGUAAUUCCUUGCUCCACCCAUUUUAAAAAGUCAGCAGACAGAUUUUCAUUUUGCUGGAGGGACAAGUCUGGAUAAUAACAGCUGAGAAGUUUUUUUAUCUAUAUGCAAGUGGGCAGAAUUUCUUUUACAAUCUAGGAAAUAACCCUUUGCCAAAUGAGAUAGAGAUAUAUUCACUUUCAGGAAGGUUUCAAACUGAAUGCUAGAAAAAUAAAUACAUAUAUGCAUGUGCCAUGUACAUUGCAUACAUAACAUAUAUAUAUAUGUGUGUAUAUAUAUAUGUGUGUGUGUAGAUGUGUAUAUUAUAUAUAUGUUCUAUGUACACAGAGAGAGAUAAAUAAUAAUGGAGAUGUUAUACAUAUACAUGGGUAUGUUUGGUCAGUCAUAACUAUGGGAAAAAAUGAGGAUUAAAGAUAGGAUUUAUUUUUGGAGUACCUUUUUUUUCUGAGAAAAUUGGGGUUAAGUGACUUGCCCAGGGUCACACAUCUAGGAAGUGUUAAGUGUCUGAGGCCAGAUUUGAACUCAGGUCCUCCUGACUUCAGGGCUGGUGCUGUAUCUACUGUACUGCCUAGCUGCCCUAGUACUUUUUUAAUGUUAUCAAAUGAACAAAAUGAAUGAAUGAAUCAGUACAUGGGCUUAUGCCUUCCCACCCUUCUUUGAACUUAAACAAUCUGUAGAGUUUUUUGUAGAUAUUUGAACACUGCCUUUACAUUUUUAAAGUGUAUUUUAAAAUUAUAUAUCUUGAAGUUCUGUUUUGGAGUCUUCAGGUUUCCUAGCUUUAACAACAAAAAUAAAGAUAUGAAAUUCUUGUACAGUAAAGGGGAUGAUGGGUACUAGGUAUGUGGCCUUUGCUAUACCUAAUCUGGAAAUAUUUUAGUGCUUACUUGGCCUCUGUACCUAAAGAUGAACAUAGCCUGGCUGUUUUUUUUACAGCUUAAAAACAAACACUCACACAUAAACAAAAACCACAAACUGAUGGCUCUUUAGGUAAAUGGUGAUUGCAAAUGUUGCUUCAGAUAGAUAGAAAGACCCAAUUACCUUGUGGCAAUUUAGAAUUUUAUUUCUUUUCUUAGUAAAUCAUGUUAACCUCAUAAUUUUAGCUAGUAUUUAUGUGACACUUUA